CUAAGCGUACACGGUGGAUGCCUGACCCCAUGCCGAACUCAGAAGUGAAACGCCGUAGCGCCGAUGGUAGUGUGGGGUCUCCCCAUGCGAGAGUAGGACACUGCCAGGC
rnacentral:rRNA from 1 species